GAUGAACGCUGGCGGCGUGCCUAAUACAUGCAAGUCGAGCGCACAGACGAGGAGCUUGCUCCUCUCACGUUAGCGGCGGACGGGUGAGUAACACGUGGAUACCUUACCUAUAUGACUGGGAUAACUUCGGGAAACCGGUGCUAGUUCCGGAUAAUAUAUUGAUCCUCAUUGUUCAAUAGUGAAAGAUGGUUUGGUUGUCUCUCAUCGAUGGCACAGCGCCGAAUUAGUUAUUGGGUAAUGUAAGGGCUAACCACGGCAACGAUCCGUAGCCGACCUGCGAGGGGAGUCGGCAACACUGGAACGGGAACACGGCCCAGACUCCAACGGAAGGAGGCGUUGGGGAAUCUUGGGCAAUGGGCGAAGUCUUGACGGAGAAACGCCGCGUAAGUAAGGAGGGUCUUCGGAUCGAAAAACUCUGUUUUUAGGGAGGAACAAAUGUGGAAGUAACUAUGCACGUCUUGACGGUACCUAAUCAGAAAGCCACGGCUAACUACGUG
rnacentral:rRNA from 1 species